rnacentral:rRNA from 1 species
AUUGAACGCUGGCGGCAGGCCUAACACAUGCAAGUCGAGCGGAUGACGGGAGCUUGCUCCUUGAUUCAGCGGCGGACGGGUGAGUAAUGCCUAGGAAUCUGCCUGGUAGUGGGGGACAACGUUUCGAAAGGAACGCUAAUACCGCAUACGUCCUACGGGAGAAAGCAGGGGACCUUCGGGCCUUGCGCUAUCAGAUGAGCCUAGGUCGGAUUAGCAAGUUGGUGGGGUAAUGGCUCACCAAGGCGACGAUCCGUAACUGGUCUGAGAGGAUGAUCAGUCACACUGGAAAUGAGACACGGUCCAGAGUCCUACGGGAGGCAGCAGUGGGGAAUAUUGGACAAUGGGCGAAAGCCUGAUCCAGCCAUGCCGCGUGUGUGAAGAAGGUCUUCGGAUUGUAAAGCACUUUAAGUUGGGAGGAAGGGCAGUAAGUUAAUACCUUGCUGUUUUGACGUUACCGACAGAAUAAGCACCGGCUAACUCUGUGCCAGCCGCCGCCGUAA